UACGCUGGCGGCACGCCUAACACAUGCAAGUCGAGCGAGGUAGCAAUACCUAGCGGCAGACGGGUGCGUAACAUGUGGGAAUCUGCCUUUUGGUUCGGAACAACACGGGGAAACCUGUGCUAAUACCGGAUAAGCCCUUACGGGGAAAGUUUUAAUGCCAAAAGAUGAGCCCGCACUUGAUUAGCUAGUUGGUAAGGUAAUGGCUUACCAAGGCAACGAUCAAUAGCUGUUCUUAGAGGAAGACCAGCCACAUUGGGACUGAGACACGGCCAAACUCC
rnacentral:rRNA from 1 species